AUGAGCUUAUUUAUAUGUGGAACUCUAACAACAACAACAACAAAAACAAAGCCACAAUAAGCCCAUGGAUGCAGAGAACAGACUGGUGGUUGCCAGAGGUGGGGGAUUCAGGAUGGGUAAAAUGGGCGAAGGUGGUCAAAAGGUACAAGCUUCCAGUUACAAAAUAAGCCAGGGGGAUGUAAUUUACAGAAUGGGAAGAGCAAACGUCUCAACU